UCGAUUUCUCGCAAUACAGAGGUUCGGGAUGCUUUGAAAUCUCUCAGCUCCCCUCCCCCUCGCAGCCCCCCCCCCCCCCCUCCCCCCCUUCUCCUCCGGCCUCCUCCCUCGCUCUGGAUCUUGUCUCCGCAUUUGCAUCUCAACUUUUUAAAAUAUAACACGUAUACUUUACGUAUAGGCUACGUGGAUGCUCCUCGACCGCUCCUAUAUAUCCUUACGCCGGGCUCGGCCCCCCUCUCCUCCAACGUCGGCUCCGGCCGUGGGGGCAGAAGCGAAGAUCCUCGUCCGCUCCGGGGGAUGCAGAGCCGUCUCCGUUCCUCCUUUGCUGUGGCGCUGAGGAUGCCAUUGACUCCAGCUUUCUGGAAUCACAUCUAUACUUGGAAACCGAAAGCAACUGGAGGUGCACUCAGCAGCAGAGCAUGGCUGGUAGAUUCCCAGCUAGAGGACAGCGGUGCAGAGAGUGGCUUCCACUGCUGUGAUGCUCCACUUGUUUCCUGGCCAGCCAAAAGCAAUGCUUGA
rnacentral:lncRNA from 1 species